ACACGGAAUCGAGAGCUC
rnacentral:snRNA from 1 species